rnacentral:rRNA from 1 species
AACGAACGCUGGCGGCAUGCCUAACACAUGCAAGUCGAACGAGAUCUUCGGGUCUAGUGGCGCACGGGUGCGUAACGCGUGGGAAUCUGCCCUUUGGUUCGGGAUAACAGUUGGAAACGACUGCUAAUACCGGAUGAUGACGAAAGUCAAAAGAUUUAUCGCCAGAGGAUGAGCCCGCGUAGGAUUAGCUAGUUGGUGUGGUAAAGGCGCACCAAGGCGACGAUCCUUAGCUGGUCUGAGAGGAUGAUCAGCCACACUGGGACUGAGACACGGCCCAGACUCCUACGGGAGGCAGCAGUGGGGAAUAUUGGACAAUGGGCGAAAGCCUGAUCCAGCAAUGCCGCGUGAGUGAUGAAGGCCUUAGGGUUGUAAAGCUCUUUUACCCGGGAUGAUAAUGACAGUACCGGGAGAAUAAGCUCCGGCUAACUCCGUGCCAGCCGCCGCGGUAA